rnacentral:rRNA from 1 species
AGUGAACGCUGGCGGUAGGCCUAACACAUGCAAGUCGAACGGCAGCACAGUAAGAGCUUGCUCUUACGGGUGGCGAGUGGCGGACGGGUGAGGAAUACAUCGGAAUCUACUUUUUCGUGGGGGAUAACGUAGGGAAACUUACGCUAAUACCGCAUACGACCUACGGGUGAAAGCAGGGGAUCUUCGGACCUUGCGCGAUUGAAUGAGCCGAUGUCGGAUUAGCUAGUUGGCGGGGUAAAGGCCCACCAAGGCGACGAUCCGUAGCUGGUCUGAGAGGAUGAUCAGACACACUGGAACUGAGAAACGGUCCAGACUCCUACGGGAGGCAGCAGUGGGGAAUAUUGGACAAUGGGCGCAAGCCUGAUCCAGCCAUACCGCGUGGGUGAAGAAGGCCUUCGGGUUGUAAAGCCCUUUUGUUGGGAAAGAAAAGCAGCAGGUUAAUACCCCGCUGUUCUGACGGUACCCAAAGAAUAAGCACCGGCUAACUUCGUG